CCUACGGGAGGCUGCAGUGGGGAAUAUUGGACAAUGGGCGAAAGCCUGAUCCAGCCAUGCCGCGUGUGUGAAGAAGGCCUUCGGGUUGUAAAGCACUUUCAGUGGGGAAGAAAGCCUUGGGGCUAAUACCCUCGAGGAAGGACAUCACCCACAGAAGAAGCACCGGCUAACUCCGUGCCAGCAGCCGCGGUAAUACGGAGGGUGCGAGCGUUAAUCGGAAUUACUGGGCGUAAAGCGCGCGUAGGCGGUCUGAUAAGCCGGUUGUGAAAGCCCCGGGCUCAACCUGGGAACGGCAUCCGGAACUGUCAGGCUAGAGUGCAGGAGAGGAAGGUAGAAUUCCCGGUGUAGCGGUGAAAUGCGUAGAGAUCGGGAGGAAUACCAGUGGCGAAGGCGGCCUUCUGGACUGACUCUGACGCUGAGGUGCGAAAGCGUGGGUAGCAAACAGGAUUAGAUACCCUAGAGUC
rnacentral:rRNA from 1 species